AGCAGAAUUAACAGUUGGUUGUAGCCAAAUAUUUACGAAGAAGCACAACAAAAAAUUUUGAUUACGCUUCGAGAGAAUUUUAUUUAUGUACGUUUGUUCAGAAAAAAUAUUUAUAAUUUUGAAAAUGAAAUCUAUCAAAAAGUUUCGGAAUUUCGCCUAUUCAAGGUGGUGUUUGUGGGUACCUAGCCUAAAAUACUCACACUACAGACAAUUAAUUUAACUUAGUAUACAAACUGCAGCAAAUGCUUGUAUCAUCCAAGAAAAACCUGCGAUUUUGAAAAUCAGUUUUCAGCUGCCUUCAGUUUUUCCACAAAAAAAAAAAAAAUAAAAUAAAAAAUGUCAAAAUUAUAUUUUUCAAAAAUUAUUUUUCAAAACAAAAAAUAUUGAACAUGCCAUUUGAAAGACGGCAAGCAAGUUUUACUAAUUUUCGCUAUCCUACCAAUUACGGACACCCGAUCAGAUUGCCCGGCAUAAAACUUUCACAAGAACUAUUGAGGGAGUACGAGAGGCGCGAUGUUCAAAACAGUUUGAGGAACCAAUAUUUAAACGAAGCGAAAUCAAAAUCUUAAUUAAGUUCGAAGGGAAGCUGAUGGAACCGUUUUGGCUUAUGUAGAAGAAGAAAUUUAACAGCAUGAUUUAAGAAUCUUAUUAAAUUUAUACGGCAAGACUAAUAAACAAAAUCUUCGGAUUAAACCGCACGAAA